rnacentral:rRNA from 1 species
GACGAACGCUGGCGGCGUGCUUAACACAUGCAAGUCGAACGGAAAGGCCCUGCUUGCAUGGUACUCGAGUGGCGAACGGGUGAGUAACACGUGGGUGAUCUGCCCUGCACUUCGGGAUAAGCCUGGGAAACUGGGUCUAAUACCGGAUAGGAGCCAUUUUUAGUGUGAUGGUUGGAAAGUUUUUUCGGUGUAGGAUGAGCUCGCGGCCUAUCAGCUUGUUGGUGGGGUAAUGGCCUACCAAGGCGGCGACGGGUAGCCGGCCUGAGGGGGUGGACGGCCACAUUGGGACUGAGAUACGGCCCAGACUCCUACGGGAGGCAGAAGUGGGGAAUAUUGCACAAUGGGCGUAAGCCUGAUGCAGCGACGCCGCGUGGGGGAUGACGGCCUUCGGGUUGUAAACUCCUUUCGCUAGGGACGAAGCUUUUUGUGACGGUACCUAGAUAAGAAGCACCGGCUAACUACGUG